UACGUAGGGUGCAAGCGUUGUCCGGAAUUACUGGGCGUAAAGAGCUCGUAGGUGGUUUGUCGCGUCGGCCGUGAAAACUCGGGGCUUAACCCCGAGCCUGCAGUGGAUACGGGCAGACUAGAGGUAGGUAGGGGAGAAUGGAAUUCCCGGUGUAGCGGUGAAAUGCGCAGAUAUCGGGAGGAACACCGGUGGCGAAGGCGGUUCUCUGGGCCUUACCUGACGCUGAGGAGCGAAAGCGUGGGGAGCGAACAGG
rnacentral:rRNA from 1 species